UACGAAGGGGGGCUAGCGUUGCUCGGAAUCACUGGGCGUAAAGCGCACGUAGGCGGAUUGUUAAGUCAGGGGUGAAAUCCUGGAGCUCAACUCCAGAACUGCCUUUGAUACUGACGGUCUUGAGUCCGGGAGAGGUGAGUGGAACUCCGAGUGUAGAGGUGAAAUUCGUAGAUAUUCGGAAGAACACCAGUGGCGAAGGCGGCUCACUGGCCCGGUACUGACGCUGAGGUGCGAAAGCGUGGGAGCAACAGG
rnacentral:rRNA from 1 species